AAUAAGUGCAGUUUUGCACUAUUCAUGUUCAACGUUUGACCGUCCGUCUUAUUUGAAAUUUUUUUAUGAUUAGUAUUUUUAUUGCUAUUAGAUAAUAAAACAUGAAUAGUAUUUUAUGUGUGACUAAAUGUUUUUAAUUUUUUCAAAAAUUUUUUAAAUAAGACGGACGAUCAAACGUUAAACAUAAAUAGUGUAAAACUACACUUAUU
rfam:Oryza nivara chromosome 8, whole genome shotgun sequence.